ACACUGGCAAUAUUUCUUCACAUAUUACACACAGUACAGCAGCAUCGAGAAAAAUUGGAACAAAAAAGAAAGAAAUAGGAAGCGGUAAAAUCAGAAUUCACAAGAGAACACCUGGUAAGGCAAUCGCCAAGCUUCAGAUUUAGAAAAACACAUGUCAUCCAGAGCAUCGCUCCGGCACCACCUGACUUGGUGUUCUGGCUGCAUUCGGAUCUGGACUCCAUUUCACCGUAGUCACGUUUCGGGUCGACCCGAUUAGGGUUCCUACUUAUGGCGUCGGAGGCUCUGCUGUUCAACCAGGGACAGGAGGUCCCGGCGAAGGCG
rnacentral:lncRNA from 1 species